UCGUCCAUUACGAUCCUUUAAAAAUUACCUUUGGAAUUACAUUGUUGGCGUAAACAUUGUUUUUUUAACGUUCUUUAAUUUUUUGUGAACAAAAAGUUUCGUACAGUGGUGCUCAAUAAAUUCUUCGGCAAAAGAGAAGCAGCAUCUAACCUUAAUACCAAUUGUUCUGUAAAUGCUGAAUGGUAUCAAUGCAACCACAUGCGGAUGGAUAUUUAGGCGGAUGCAAAGAUUUGGUGUUCGUGGUUCGAGGUGCAGGUUAAAAGUGAUCGUAUCGAAGAUAGCUAUCAAAGAAAGAAAGAGAGAAUGUGUGAGGAAAGCAAGAAGAAGAAAAAGAAGAAGAAGAAGAAGGUAAAGGUGUCCUCCGGGGUUCAACGAUAAUCUCCAUGACCUACGACACGUUCCGAAUUUUUGAUCGUUUCAGGAUGAAACGAGCGAGACGUUCGGCCCUGUUGGAAUAUAUUUUUCUUACUUUCGAGGUUCAGGGUCGAUGCAGACGUUUGCGUUCAAGGUUCUUCUCCGAGGCCGAGACGGACGGUUCACUUUUCAGAGGACUUACGACUGGCCCAUUUUUCUCGAUUGUUAAUCAUCGCGAACGAAGGGUAAGUGAGGAAGCAAGGAAGUACUCGUCUAUUUACCUGUUGCGGAACAUCGGAAUCGGUAAUAGAAAUUCAACGGACAACCGAGAAGCUCCGAUAUCGAUAAGACGGAUCUCUGGUUGUAGCGAAUAUUCUGCCUAUAUGUAUAUAUAUAUAUACCUGUUGCAUUACGGCUAAAACCAGAAGAAAAAUCGUAAGUGCGGGUGCGUGCAGGUUGUGACAUCUUGCUUGAAACUUAGCCGGGUCCUUUUCGCGGAUAAUUACUUUGGACUUAGACGGGGGGUGUGGGUGUAGGUAGGAGAAGGAGGAGGAGGAGGAGG